rnacentral:rRNA from 1 species
AACGUAGGAGACAAACGUUAUCCGGAGUUACUGGGCGUAAAGCGCGCGCAGGCGGCCUCGCGCGCCCGACGUGAAAGCCCCCGGCUUAACCGGGGAGGGUCGUUGGGGACGGCGGGGCUUGAGGGCGGGAGAGGUCGGUGGAAUUCCCGGUGUAGUGGUGAAAUGCGUAGAGAUCGGGAGGAACACCUGUGGCGAAGGCGGCCGACUGGGCCGACCCUGACGCUGAGGCGCGAAGGCGUGGGGAGCGAACGGG